UGGGCGAAAGCUCUGAUCCAGCCAUGCCGCGUGUGUGAAGAAGGUCUUCGGAUUGUAAAGCACUUUAAGUUGGGAGGAAGGGCAGUACAUUAAUACUCUGCUGUUUUGACGUUACCGACAGAAUAAGCACCGGCUAACUCUGUGCCAGCAGCCGCGGUAAUA
rnacentral:rRNA from 1 species